GACGUAGGGCGCGAGCGUUGUCCGGAUUUAUUGGGCGUAAAGAGCUCGUAGGCGGCUUGUCGCGUCGACUGUGAAAACCCGAGGCUCAACUUCGGGCUUGCAGUCGAUACGGGCAGGCUAGAGUUCGGUAGGGGAGACUGGAAUUCCUGGUGUAGCGGUGAAAUGCGCAGAUAUCGGGAGGAACACCGGUGGCGAAGGCGGUUCUCUGGGCCUUACCUGACGCUGAGGAGCGAAAGCGUGGGGAGCGAACAGG
rnacentral:rRNA from 1 species